rnacentral:rRNA from 1 species
GCAAGUCGAGCGGUAACAUUUCUAGCUUGCUAGAAGAUGACGAGCGGCGGACGGGUGAGUAACGCGUAGGAAUCUACCUGGUAGUGGGGGACAACAUGGUGAAAACCAUGCUAAUACCGCAUACGCCCUAAGUGGGAAAGCGGGGGAUCUUCGGACCUCGCGCUAUUGGAUGAGCCUGCGUAAGAUUAGCUAGUUGGUGGGGUAAAAGCUCACCAAGGCGACGAUCUUUAGCUGGUCUGAGAGGAUGAUC